rnacentral:rRNA from 1 species
CAAUAGCGUAUAUUAAAGUUGUUGCAGUUAAAAAGCUCGUAGUUGGAUUUCUGGAUCGAACGCUUCGUCCGCCGCUGUGCGGUGUGUACUGAGGUUUUGUUUCGAUUCAUCCUUGCAGGGAAGCGAGUUCGAGAUUAAUUUGUCGGCUCGGGGAACUGCAUCUUUUACUGUGAAAAAAUUAGAGUGUUUAAAGCAGGCAUUAUGCUGUGAAUACAUUAGCAUGGAAUAAUAACAUAGGACUUUGGUUCUAUUUUGUUGGUUGGAGGCCAAGGUAAUGAUUAAUAGGGACAGUUGGGGGUAUUCAUAUUUAAUUGUCAGAGGUGAAAUUCUUGGAUUUAUGAAAGAUGAACUCAUGCGAAAGCAUUUACCAAGGAUGUUUUCAUUAA